UUUCGUCCAUGGCCUUAUCCAGAAGGUUCCAUGGGCUGCUUAGAGUUUAAGUUGUCCAUUAGGGUUUUGACUGAAACCCUAGCAGCCCACACAAGUAUAUAAAGGACCCCUUAGGCCCCAAAAACGUGGAAAACUGAUUCUCUAGGGUUUCUAGUCGUUUUUGGCAGCCUCCUUUCUUCUCCUCUUCAUCCAAGUUGUAUAUGGUGUUUGUGACUCCAUUAGAGGUGCAGCACUUGAGGCACUAAGCUUUCUAAGGCCAAUCCAAGCAAGGAAUUGAUUGUUAUUGCUAUAUAACAAUCAAAGGUAAUUCUCUAAACCCUAAUUCAGUUUAUAAUAUGUUAGAUCUAAGUUUAUUAGUCUUGGAUUCAAAGCAUGUACAAUAGAGAAACCUAGAUCCAAGCAUUAGGGUUUGUAUAAGCACAUAUGAUUGUUUCUUAUGCAUAAAACCCAUCAGUGGUAUCAUAGCCUUGAUUGGUUUCAGUUGUAUGUGAUGCUUAACUGUUUUGUUUACUAAAAAUCGAGUUUUUGGCCUCUGAUCGACUCAACUCGGCAAGUCAGUAUCUGGACUCGGUGAGCUGGCCCCUACUCGGCGAGUUCAGAGCUGACUCGGCGAGUUCGAGCGUCAGACAGAGGGUAUUUCGGGAUUUAGCUGUUGUUUUGACUUGGAUUUAAUGCCUAAUUCGUUUUUUGAAGUUAAAAUCCGAUUUUUAUCUUAAAUUAAUGAUUAUCCUUGCCAAAACAAUAGAUAAUUUCAAAUCUUUUGAAUAUUGGUUGUUUAUGUGAUAAAUAUGGAUUAUUUAAAGUUAUUUGGUAAUUAUCUAAUGACUAAAAUAAGAUUANAUUAGGUCAAAUAUAGAUAAUCCCUAAAUUAAUUGUUUGAUUUGUAUUAUUUGUUAUUUGAUCCCUAGUAAGUUUGAAUAGUUUCAAUUUACUCCCUUUAGGUUUUAUAGUUUAAAUUAUAACUUAAAAGUUUUGUUUUUGAAAUUUAAAUAGGUAAACUCUAAUGUUUUGAAAUGUUUCAAAACUUGCCCUCAAGUUUUGGAAUUUAAAAGUUGAUUAAAAGUUUAAUUUUGAAAUGUUAAAUUCUAAAGCCCUAAUAAUUUGAAAAGUUCAAAUCACACCCUUAUGGUUUUAUUAAUUAAUUAAAGUGUAUAAUUAAAAGUGAUUUAAUAAAUCCAUAAAGUUUUGGUUUACAUUUAAUUAAAUUAAAAGUAUAAUUUUACUAAAUUAAACCACCUAGUAUUUUAAAAGUGUAAAAUACACCCUAUACUAUAUAUAACAUUAAAAGUCUAAUAUUAUAUAUAUAUGAGUAAACAGUCAGUCUUACCGUUAGUAGGCCUCAUUCACGAAGCUGGUCUAUAAGGGGUGUUUAAGGAAAUUGCCUAUAAAAUGGCGAUUGAAUGGGUAUCCACUCUUACCCACCGCACUCUUGACUAGUGGAGGGUCGUUAGCCGAACGGGUAGGAUAGGACAGAAACCUUCCAUUAUAAGUAUAAUGAAGUACAAAGUAACUAAAUGCUUUUUCAAAUUCCCAAAUCAUAGUUACUUUAGGAAAAAUGUGAAAUUGUAUGCUAAUCCAUGGAAUUACACUUCGUACCCUUGUCAAACGUUAGUGGAGCGUGUGUGGUUAACCGGCACACUAAUUUGGGGAUGACAUUGGUGGCGAAGGGUGGCUCGAUGCUUAUCAUAGAUCAAUGGAGCGUGUGUGGCUAACCGGCACAUUGAUUAGGUGAUAGUAGCAUUGGGUGCACCACGUGAUUCGUAUGGUUAUUCACACCUUGUUUGUGAUCCUCGGCAUCCCAGUCACAAAUAGUAGGGCAUAAUCGAGAUUAAACAUGCCAUUGAAAAGUUCAAUGAAUCUCAAAAGAUCUAGGAGUUUCAAUUCAUUUAAAACUUAAUCUUCCUUUUCGUUUUUCAUGGUGGAAAUUGGUAAAUCGUCAUUUACCUACCUUCAAAUAUUCUGCAACUAGAUUACGGCAUCCCUCUUCUAGGUUGUAGAGUAUUGUGUUGGAUCCUAGCUUGAUGUUUCAUUUGGGUGUUACAUCAAGAAUUCUAAUCAACAUAACUUGAAUUUUCUCCCGUUUUGUAGAUGUCUGAAUCUUACAAUGGUCUUCCCAAAUCCUUUGGAACAAGCUUUCCAAAUGAAGAUGACGUUCCGAGAUACGAUCAAGGAAAUGAGAGUCAUGCUUCACUUCCUCCACCUCCUCCAAUUGUUCUCCCUGACCCACAAGUUCAAAGGCUUGAAAAGUUCAAGCUCACUCAAGCCCUUUUGGCAAGUAAACACGAAGAUGGGAAACCUGUGUGUGCACACGUCUUAGAGAUGAAGUCACACAUUGAUAGGUUAAGCAUGUUGGGUGUCGAGAUUUCAAGCGAGUUGGCUGUUGACUGGGUUCUUCAGUCACUUCCUGAAUCAUAUAGUGAGUUCGUUAGAGAGUACUAUAUGAUGGACCACGACGUGACCCUAAUUGAUCUCACCUAUUUGCUUAUAGCUGCUGAAUCAGCAAUGAUUUGGCGUGCUGGUCAAGCAAAUUUGUCUGGUGAAUCAAACUCCCAAACUUCAAUGGACACUGGCAACAUUGGAAGUCCAGAAAGAACUAAGUCUGUGAUUGUCCGAUGUGCUGUGCCAAAGGAGUCCAUUUGCUUUUAUUGCCAAGAGAAGGGGCAUUGGAGACGAAGCUGCCCUAACUACCUGAGAGAUCUAAGAGAUGGGAGAGUCAAGACGUAUGGCUCUGCUUCAGGUAAAAUCCAUUAUCUAACUCUUUUGAGUUCCUAUUCUAGAUUCUUAAUACAUGAUGUGAUAAGAUUACAUUUUGAUGUUUUGUAGGAUCGAAGAAAAGAGAGGAAGCUUGAGGGAAGAAGUGAGCUGAAUCUAAUCAUGAAGAAAUGGAUUUCGAUCGCAUUACUUGAAGAAUGGAUUCUUGAGCUACUACUUGGAGUUAGAAUAGAUUGUUAAGAAAUAUGUAAUAACAUAGUUUUUCAAUUGAAUUGCAUUGUAAGGACAAAUUUUUUCCGCAAUAAAAUGAAUUUUGAUUUUAUCUUAUUUAUUUAUCCUUGCAAUGGCAUGUAUGAAAAAUUGAUGUUUGAAUGUUUCUAUUAUUAGCAAUAAUGGAUUUGAUUCUUAAUUGUGUUAUUUGUGGAAAUGUCAAAAGUUUACCAAAUAGGGAGAGUUUCUCAUCGCCCAAGUUUCAAUUGGACAGAAACUUGGAAUCAUGCAAUGUGUAUUGUAUGAUGAAUGAAAAACUUUCACAUUUGGGAAACUUAGACUAAUUCUUUGACAAAGUGUCAAUUGAAGGACUAGGAGAUUGAGUACACUAGGUCGUACGUUUAUCAAGUCUACCAUAAGAGUGACAAGGAUAUUCGUCAUGAUUUACUAAAGUUUAGUAAAUAUGGUUAUACUUGUAAGAUUAAGUGUAAUUAUGAGUUUAUUGAAAGGGUUUCAAUGAAUAGUAGAACGAAUAAAGAAGAAUCAAGAAGGCAGAAAGAUAAAAGUUUCUCUUUUCUAAGAAGAAGGGAGAGUACCUUUUAUUGUGUUUUAUGAUAAGUCUUAAAGAUUAAGAACCAUGUCUCAAUAGAUCCUCUAAGUGAGUCUUAGUGCAAUUGCAUGUCUAAGAAGAGGAAUCAAGUAUUGUAGAAAUGGUUAAAUCAAUAAGUCAAUCAUACUUCGUUCCAAUAUCAAGUCUUAGAGUCAAGAUUGUGACAUUGAGUGAAAAGUCUUAAGUAGGUUUAUAACACUCAUCAAAUGUGGAAUUUGGAAAAGUUUUCUUAUUCUUGCACAUUUGAAAUUGGUAAGUUGUGUUGUCUUGGAUAAGACAAAGACCAACUAGGACCAAUUAUGUGAAGUGUUUUGUCUUGAUAAGAACUACACUAACUCUUGAAUAUUUGCUUUGUCAAGAAAUGUUUCUUGACAAGAGAAUCUUAUAUGUCAAGAAAUCAGUAGGAGUCUUAAUGGUCUUGAAAGCUUUCAAGAACAAAUCAAGAAUAAACUUUAUCGAUCAUCACUAGCACAUGACUUGAGGUUUACAACCUAUCGUGUUGACAUUUUUUGUUUCUGUGCCAUUCCAAUUGAGUUAAUUGCAUACGUGAGUUCUAUGAGUUCUCAUUUGAAUGCAUACUAGAGCCUUAGUCGAUGGAAAGUACAUUGAUAUGUAAGGACAAGUUACUAAACUACUUGGAAGACAUGGUGGGCACUCGUGUUACCAUAAGGCAAGAAAUCAAGAUUAAGAAAGUUCAGUCCAUAUGAGUUUGGAUUUGUCGCAAACCUUGGUUUUGGCAAAUUCACAUGGAUAGGAACUCAUACACCAUAAAAUCUAAGUGUCAUAAGAUUCCCUCCUUCAUGAAAAUGACUGUGAGGAAAUGCUUUCACUAAGAGAGAUUUUAAGAAGAUAGCAAUUGUGAAAAUUGUAUUCUCAAAUUCGAUUAUGGUUACGGCAUCCCUUUCCAUAGUUCGAAUUGUGAGAUUUGGCAAUUAGUUUGAACAUUUGGAACUUAGUAACAUAAGUUCUAAAUUGUUUAAACACACAUAUGAGCUAUCUAAGGCAAAGGUGUAUAAGUUUAAGAAGCUUAGAUAAAGGCUUAUCGAAGCAUCUGGUAUUAGAAAUAUGAAUUUCAGAAAUUCAAUAGGCAUUGUUUUCUGAAAGUUCAUUUGUUUUCUGAAUACAUGUCAAAGCUAGUGGGAGCAUAAGUGUUAUGCUUAUAUGAUAAUAAUCAUCAUGAUAGUGGGAGCAUAAGUGUUAUGCUUGUAUGAUUAUUAUGGCGAGUAUUGCAAGUUAGCAAUAUUAAUUAUAGAAAAACAAAGAUUCAAUUUGCAAAGUUGCAUGGGUUGAAAAGUUGUUUUAAUAUAAUUAAGGGAGAGAAUAUUAUACUUCGUUUCAAAAUCUAAAGCUUAGAUUGAGAAAUUUUAAUAUUUUCAGUCAAAGGAUACAUUGUGUGUUCUUAAAAUUCGAUUAUGAUUACGGCAUCCCUCUUCAUAGUUCGAAUUGUGAGAACAUGACACAUAAAAUAUUAUGGCAAAAGAUUGGUAAAGUAUCAUAUCUUUAUGUAAGACAUUAUGCAUCGUGUCCCAUACGCUUCGGGUAUAGGAUCGAUUGCAAAUGCUAUAAUAUUUUACCAUUCUAAAAUUUUCCAAAUGUCUAGCGCAUUAAGAGGGAAAAAGGACUAGAAUUGGUUUUGACUAAAAUAAUUAAACAACUAUCAAAGGACGAUCCAAAGUUCGCUGAGGAUUGGUCGCUUGUGAGUAGUUGGAAGUAUGGUAUUGGAUGGACCAUAUCGACAUUAUUAUGAAUAGAUAAGAUUCUAUUAAGAAUGAGUUGUCAUAUGGCAAAUGUGGAAAUGUUUCCAUAUUGGGAGUUGGAUAUUGAGAUUCUAUGCCUAGAUUAGAAACUUUUAUGCAGGAAGGAUGUUCAAAUGAAUGUACUUUGAAUGUGAGACUUCACGUCUAUGGAAUUGUCUUGUAACAAUGUCCGAUAGAGUACUUCAUAAUUUCAUUAGCCAAGUCUUGGUGACUUUUGUGCUAUGACUUUAUGAAAGGAUCGUUGCAUAAGAUGUUAGAAUCUAGCAUAUUCUAAUAGUAGCAAAGAACCUUGUGUUCUUACACUAAUGAUAAGGAUUGGGAAUUGUGAAAUGAGCAUCAUUGAAAAGGUUUUUCAAUUGAUCUAUUUCACAAAGUAAGGACCAUAGGAAACAUAGUGUGCAUGCUUUAUGCAUGGGACAGCUAUUGUUGUAAUUUAAGUAAUAAGUUGAUUUUCUGAAACAGUAAACGAUAAUAAUGAGUAAUCAAUAUGGUGGUUAAAUAGAAGUGUUUUAUUUACUCUCACAAGUUUGAGGCCAUAUAGGAUUAAGUAUUAUUGUUAUGUUUCAAUUUGCAUGUUUUGACUUCCAGAAUAACUAGGUUAUUCAAACAUCCACAGUCGGUCAUACGUUGGGAGUAGGUAUGAAUAAAGACUGUCAUGAAUCUGUCUGUAGAUUGUCUGAAGUGUUUAGACAUAGCACAAGUUUGCUGCAGAGUUCAUGAGUGCUUUGAUAAGAUUAGAGUAUUGGAUUAAACCCACGCUCACUUGGAUCACUUCAUGGUUUUAUCACGAGUGAUUAGUGAGACGAUAAUAUUGUAUAUUCUUGAAACCGAGACGUGUGAGUUGUUAUUUGUUGGUCGGUUGCACAUUGAUAAUAAGUAAACGCACCAGUAACUUGGUGUUAUAAAACUUAUUGUUGUGUGUGAUUCGAUCAGUAAAUGCAAGCGAGCAUUUGAGUCGAAGUUUAUCCAUUCCUUUUACCCAAAGUGGGAUAAAAGCGAUAUCUGUGGGCCUCUCGAUGAUUUAGUGAUGACACCUAAGCGCUUGGCCAAGCCGGGACUAAGUUGAUGUGUUCAAUUGUAGUCUGUUAUCAGUCGUCAUAAAUCGGAAGUCGGGAAACAGUAUAGAGAGAAUGAUUGAAAUUCAUGUCUUUUGUCUAUACGAUAUCUUGAGAAUGGAGGAAUAUAUAAUCCCUUAUCUAGAGGACACACUAUCUGAUAAGAUCAGAGUUGACAGCGGCUUUUGAAAGCUACGAUUGCUGAUCAGGUUCUGAAGUCAUACGGAAAAUAGUUAUUAGACUUAUCCAAGUGGGAGACUGUUGGAUUAGUGUCUAAGUCCAUAACUAUUUUGGUAUGUACUUGACCCGAUUAUGAGCAUGGUCCUUUUGGGUUGCCUUCACCAUAGCAAUAUGUAGGAUGAAUUAAGGAGAGAGAGGUUUAAAUAUGAUUUAUUAAUAUAUUAUGAGAAUAAUAUAUUAAAGGAGAAAUCAUAUUGUUUAAUUAAUAUUAGUCAAGAAUUAAUUGAUAAUUAAUUUUGUGACUAAAAGAGAUUAAUUAAAUUUAGGGGACUGGACUGCAAUUAUUGGAUAAUUGAGUUAUUGGGCUAAGGAAUGCUAAAGGAACAAGGGGUGAACGAAAUUAUGAUGGAAGCCCAUCAUAUUUUCGUCCAUGGCCUUAUCCAGAAGGUUCCAUGGGCUGCUUAGAGUUUAAGCUGUCCAUUAGGGUUUUGACUGAAACCCUAGCAGCCCACACAAGUAUAUAAAGGACCCCUUAGGCCCCAAAAACGUGUGGAACUGAUUCUCUAGGGCUUCUAGCCGUUUUUGGGCAGCCUCCUUUCUUCUCCUCUUCAUCCAAGUUGUAUAUGGUGUUUGUGACUCCAUUAGAGGUGCAACACUUGAGGCACUAAGCUUUCUAAAGCUAAUCAAAGCAAGGAAGUGAUUGUUAUUGCAAUAUAACAAUCAAAGGUAAUUCUAUAAACCCUAAUUCAGUUUAUAAUAUGUUAGAUCUAAGUUUAUUAGUCUUGGAUUCAAAGCAUGUACAAUAGAGAAACAUAGAUCUAAGCAUUAGGGUUUGUAUGAGCACAUAGGAUUGUUUCUUAUGCAUAAAACUCAUCAUUUUCAAGUCUUCGGUGUGAGCCAU
rnacentral:lncRNA from 1 species